rnacentral:rRNA from 1 species
AACGAACGCUGGCGGCAGGCUUAACACAUGCAAGUCGAGCGCCCCGCAAGGGGAGCGGCAGACGGGUGAGUAACACGUGGGAACGUACCUUUUGCUACGGAAUAGCUCCGGGAAACUGGAAUUAAUACCGUAUGUGCCCUUCGGGGGAAAGAUUUAUCGGCAAAAGAUCGGCCCGCGUCUGAUUAGCUAGUUGGUGGGGUAAUGGCCUACCAAGGCGACGAUCAGUAGCUGGUCUGAGAGGAUGAUCAGCCACACUGGGACUGAGACACGGCCCAGACUCCUACGGGAGGCAGCAGUGGGGAAUAUUGGACAAUGGGCGCAAGCCUGAUCCAGCCAUGCCGCGUGAGUGAUGAAGGCCUUAGGGUUGUAAAGCUCUUUCGCUAGGGAAGAUAAUGACGGUACCCGGAGAAGAAGCCCCGGCUAACUUCGUGCCAGCCGCCGCGGUAAGAC